GGGGAUGUCAGUUUUGACGAAGAAUGCAUUUUGCUUCGUGCGUAGUUGAGGCGGAGUGUCUCAUUAAAUGACUCCAAAACACAAGUGCCAAAAACACUGUGAAGGGGAUCGUUUCGCCAUACAUGGCGGGCUUUCCUCAAUUCGCUUACGCUCGGGGCUAAAACCACGCCGCCUCUGGCGGCAGGUUCGCCCGGUCACCGCCUAGCGAUGACUUAGGGUUAACCUGUAACGUAAACGACAUCGCUCCGGGUAGGUAUCCGACCUUCCGGAAUACGGUGUAAUAAAUUCGGAAGUAGAAAAUCGGGUUGUCCUUACCGAUUUUCGAAACCGCUCAAAAGGCGGCAAUAAGGAAUCGAUGAUUGAAGUUCUCUCUUUUCUCUCAUUCAAUCAUCUAAACAUCCGAGAAAAGAUACACUAUGUAGACUCGUCGCAUUUUCUUCUUCGGACGCGGUUUCAAUACCGCCAUCUCCACCA
rnacentral:tmRNA from 3 species